CCAAUAGCGUAUAUUAAAGUUGUUGCAGUUAAAAAGCUCGUAGUUGAACUUCAGGCCUGUCCAGAUGGUCCGCCUUAAUUGGUGUGUACUGUCCUUGGGUGGGUCCUACCUUCUGGCGAAGCGGCAUGGCCUUAGUUGGUUGUGUCGGGGAACCAGGACUUUUACUGUGAAAAAAUUAGAGUGUUCAAAGCAGGCAAAUAUGCUCGAAUACAUUAGCAUGGAAUAAUGGAAUAGGACGAUGGUUCUAUUUUGUUGGUUCUAGGACCGUUGUAAUGAUUAAUAGGGAUAGUUGGGGGCAUUAGUAUUCAAUUGUCAGAGGUGAAAUUCUUGGAUUUAUUGAAGACUAACUACUGCGAAAGCAUUUGCCAAGGAUGUUUUCAUUAAUCAAGAACGAAAGUUAGGGGAUCGAAGACGAUCAGAUACCGUCGUAGUCUUAACCAUAAACUAUGCCGACUAGGAAUCGGGCGAUGUUGACAAAAUGACUCGCUCGGCACCUCAUG
rnacentral:rRNA from 1 species